rnacentral:lncRNA from 1 species
CGGUGAAACCCCGUCUCUACUAAAAAUACAAAAAACUAGCCGGGCGAGGUGGCGGGCGCCUGUAGUCCCAGCUAUUCGGAAGGCUGAGGCAGGAGAAUAGCGUAGACCCGGGAGGCGGAGCUUGCAGUGAGCUGAGAUCCGACCACUGCACUCCCGCCUGAGAGACAGAGCCAGACUCCGUCUCAAAAAAAAAAAAAAGAAAAGAAAAUGCCCACACUUCGGAGCAAGAAGCAGGUCCCAUCCCCCUCUGCUGACGUCACGCCUGUGGAUUGGCUGAUGGAGCUGUGAGCUCGGCUGUUGUUGAGCCGGGGGAACCGAAACUUGGCAGUCGCCAUGACUGGCUGUCCGGCGUCAUCAAGCUACCGAGGCUUCAAGCCCUUUUUCUUCUUGCCUCUACACCGCCUCCUGUUGUUGUUUCUGGUUUUGCUUGGGACCCUGGCCAACAAACUUAACGUGCCACAGGUGUUGCUACCCUUCGGCCAAGAGCCAGGCCGGGUGCCUUUCCUGCUGGAGGCGCAGCGAGGCUGCUACACUUGGCAUUCCACCCAUCAUGAUGCAGUUACUGUUGAGCCUUUAUAUGAAAAUGGCACCUUGUGUUCCCAAAAAGCUGUACUCAUUGCUGAAUCUACGCAACCGAUACGCCUCAGCAGUAUUAUUCUUGCUCGAGAAAUAGUGACUGACCAUGAGCUACGCUGUGACGUUAAGGUUGAUGUGAUAAACAGCAUUGAAAUUGUAUCUCGGGCCCGGGAACUUUAUGUAGAUGAUUCGCCACUGGAACUGAUGGUGAGGGCAUUGGAUGCUGAAGGAAAUACUUUUAGUAGUUUGGCAGGGAUGAUGUUUGAGUGGAGCAUUGCCCAGGACAACGAGUCAGCCAGAGAAGAACUGUCCAGCAAAAUUAGGAUUCUUAAAUACUCUGAAGCAGAAUAUGCUCCCCAAUGUAUAUAG